rnacentral:rRNA from 1 species
CAGUCGCCGCGGUAAUGCGAAGGGUGCAAGCGUUAAUCGGAAUUACUGGGCGUAAAGCGUGCGUAGGCGGUGAGUUAAGUCUGCUGUGAAAUCCCCGGGCUCAACCUGGGAAUGGCAAUGGAUACUGGCAAGCUAGAGUGUGUCAGAGGAUGGUGGAAUUCCCGGUGUAGCGGUGAAAUGCGUAGAGAUCGGGAGGAACAUCAGUGGCGAAGGCGGCCAUCUGGGACAACACUGACGCUGAGGCACGAAAGCGUGGGGAGCAAACAGGAUUAGAUACCCCAGUAGUCCCUGUCUCUUAUAC